GACGAACGCUGGCGGCAUGCUUAACACAUGCAAGUCGAACGGAAGGGCCCUGCUUGUGUGCUGUUCUCGGUUGGCGAACGCGUGCGUAACAGGUGAGUAACCUACUCUUGAUUUUGGUAUAACUUCAGGAAACGAGGGCUAAGACCGUAUAGGAUCUCCUCCUGCGUUGUGAGCGGUGGAACGUCUCGGCGGGUGCGGAUGGACUGGCGGAUGAUCAGCUUGUUGGUGGGGUGGUUGAUGACCAACGCUUUGACUGAUCGGCGGCCUGAGAGGGUGACCGGGCACAAUGGGACUGAGAUACGGACCAGUGUGGUAUGGGAGACAGAAGUGGGGAAUCUUGUACAAUGGGAGGAAGUGUGAUGAAGCAACGUUGGGUGCGGGAUGACGGUUUUCGGGUUGAAAACAGCUGUCGGUUGUGACCAAGCGUGAGUGACGGUAAUGGAUAAAGAAGCACCGGCUAACUACGUG
rnacentral:rRNA from 1 species